rnacentral:misc_RNA from 1 species
CUCUCUCUCUCUGCUUACUUAAUUUCUCUCUUGGUCCUUCCUCUCCCUUCCCCAUCUCUUUAAAUCUCUCUCAUCACUCUCCAAUUCUUCACAUCUCUUACAUCUAAAUCUUAACACUUGUCUUCUCUCUCUCUCACUUCUUUCUUUUUGAUUAGCUCAUUUGUUGUUAUAUGCAUAUUUUCCGAUUUUGGUUUCAUUUCUUUUCCUCAGUCUUUCCAUCAAAUUUUUGGCUUCAAUAUUAUUCUUAACAAAAACACAUUCACUCACCUUCAACUAAAACUAUAAGGAUAUGUCUAGCAGAAGGCCGAGGCAGUCUGCAGCUCCUCCAAGAAUCACUGAUGAUCAGAUCAUCGAACUUGUCUCAAAGUUACGCCAGCUUCUCCCGGAG